rnacentral:rRNA from 1 species
UCCUACGGGGCGCAGCAGUGAGGAAUAUUGGUCAAUGGGCGGAAGCCUGAACCAGCCAAGUCGCGUGAGGGAGUAAGGCCCUACGGGUCGUAAACCUCUUUUGCCGGGGAGCAAGGGCCGGGACGAGUCCCGGUCCGGAGAGUACCCGGAGAAAAAGCAUCGGCUAACUCCGUGCCAGCAGCCGCGGUAAUACGGAGGAUGCGAGCGUUAUCCGGAUUUAUUGGGUUUAAAGGGUACGUAGGCGGGCCUUUAAGUCAGCGGUAAAAAUUCGGGUCUCAACCCCGGCCGGCCGUUGAAACUGGGGG